GCGCCCUUAGCUCAGUGGAUUAGAGUGCGUCGCUACGGACGACGAGGUCGGGGGUUCGAAUCCCUCAGGGCGCA
rnacentral:tRNA from 1 species